GACGAACGCUGGCGGCAUGCCUAACACAUGCAAGUCGAGCGAGUUGAUCCCUUCGGGGUGAAGCUAGCAGCGGACGGGUGAGUAACACGUGGGCAACCUGCCUCAUAGAGGGGAAUAGCCUUCCGAAAGGGAGAUUAAUACCGCAUGAGAUUGUAGCUUCGCAUGAAGUAGCAAUUAAAGGAGCGAAUCCGCUAUGAGAUGGGCCCGCGGCGCAGUAGCUAGUUGGUGAGGUAACGGCUCACCAAGGCGACGAUGCGUAGCCGACCUGAGAGGGUGAUCGGCCCCAUUGGGACUGCGACACGGCCCAGACUCCUACGGGAGGCAGCAGCGGGGAAUAUUGCGCAAUCGGGGAAACCCUGAUGCAGCAAUGCCGCGUGAGUGAUGACGGCCUUCGGGUUGUAAAGCUCUGUCUUCGGGGACGAUAACGACGGUACCCGAGGAGGAAGCCACGGCUAACUACGUGCCAGCCGCCGCAGUAA
rnacentral:rRNA from 1 species